rnacentral:lncRNA from 1 species
AUGGCUGACAAAAAGCCCCAGGAAGGAGUCAAGACUAAGAACAAUCAUAUUAAUUUGAAGGUGGUGGGGCAGGGUGGUUCUGUGGUGCAGUUUAAGAUUAAGAGGCAUACACCACUUAGUAAACUAAUGAAAGCCUAUUGUGAAUGACAGGGAUUGUCCAUGAGGCAGAUCAGACUCUGAUUUGACCGGCAACCAAAUCAAUGAAAAAGACACACCUGUACAGUUGGAAAUGGAGAAUGAAGAUACGAUUGACGUGUUCCAACAGCAGAUGGGAGGUGUCUACUGA